AGGACCAGCUUACACUGACCUAUCAUGGCAUCCAACAAAUUUGUCAUUAAGUGUGGGAACUUUGCUGUCUUGGUGGAUGUUCAUAUUUUGCCUCAAGGCUCCAUUAAAGACACCAGCUGGUUUUCAGAUCAUGAGAAAGAGUGGUUUCUCUUUCAGGAGGUCUGCAAGCUGCUGGAAGAAGUUGUUGCUUCAAGGGUCAGACACUACUUGGAGGCACCUAAACAGCGUGGUCAGUGGAAGCCCAUGGAACAGGGAUCAUCUGGGCCUUUGUUUCUUACCGCCAACAGUUUGCACAUUACUGCCUACUUUAUGAAGAGAUGGGUUAAUCUCCGUUGUGCUCUAGGGAAACAUUAUCGUGAGCUCCGUGUGUUUCCAGAGAAAUUUAUCGUUUGUGUCAGCAAACUUGACUUUGAUCCAAGUGCUUGGACAUGUGACGAUGGUGGAUUGCAGAAAGAAGAACUUUCCAAUGGGACGUCUGAAUAUUUUACUGAAUCUGCUGAGAACAAGAAGCGUAAGAUUAGUCUGAGUGAGCAAAUAAAGCGAGACAUCCUGAGAAAAAUUGUGAAGAGGACAAAACCAAGGAGAAGUAGUGCAAGCAAACCUCAAAUCAGCAAGGACUCCAAGAAAGUGUAUCUUGGCUGGGCAGACUCACAGACAGAGAACAGAGACUGUGAGACUUCUCUCAGUGCUCGGUCUGCUGUGAAACGUAGGAGCCCAGGCCUGCUGAAGGACUGCACAAACACAGCUGAGAGCAGCCUGGGGCUUCCUGUGCUGGAGCAGAGAAACGAUGUUCAUCAGAGAGAGCCAGAAGAGGUUCACAGCCAGCACAAACCUCACUCUCUGGAGCGGUCGGAGGCGAGUCUGCUAAGUGAGAGCCCUCCUUGCAGCUCUGGGACAGCACUGCCGGCUCCUAGACAAAGUCAGAGGGUGACCAGAGCACAGGCUCAGCUCAACAGCCCUGGUUCAGAGGAAAAGCUGGAGCAUUUCACAAAAGUGUCCUCUGAAGGGACUCCUUUAACUUCUAUCAAUACAGAAAUGAGUAAGUGUGAUGAUCAUUGUUUGAGUCCAUUCCUGGAGGAGAAGACACCUCUUAAUUCCAGGUUGUUUUCAAAGCAAGACAUGGCAAAGACUGUGGUUGACAAGAAGUCAUUGACUUUGAGAAAAAGUCCCUCCUGGUCUCUUUUUGUGAGCAGCAGUGGAGUGCAGACAAGCCAAAGUGAGCCAAGCACAGCCCCUGAAGAGCUGCCUGCAGUGCCGACAUCAGGUCUAGAACUGCACCCUGUGUCUUCAGAGAAGCUUUCCCAAAAAAGAAAAAAAGAAGUGGAAAAUGGUCUCGGGAAGUUAAAACUGCGAAGGCUUAAGAAGUCAAAAUCUGAAAUACUGCCUUAAUAGCAUGGGUGGUCAGCCAAGGUUGUGCCUAAGCAAAGAGCAGGAAGCAAUUCAAAAUGAUGGAAAACAAUAAAAAUACAAAAUCAAAAUUAGAGAACACAUUAAGAAAAUUUAGUUACCUAAGGAUCUUAGUCAUUUGGCACUGUAAUAAAGCUCUUUGGGUGAUGUUUCUCAGUGCUUUGCAGUCAGGUUGCAAAUCCUUACCCAGCUCCAGGCUCUGCUAAAAGGUCUUUCCCAGUACCAGCAAAACCAAGGCUGCAAAUAACCUGGUUUGGAGGAAGAAGAGCCUGAGUAACCCGGGUGGAGGAGAAGAUGUGGGCUGAGGGAACGGCCACGCACGGAGCCUUUCAUCAGAGGAUAUCAAAGCGCUGCAGCUGAACCUGCAGGGAGCUGGAAGUGCUUAUUCUGACAGCUGGGGCAGCACUGAGGGAAGAGCUGCUUCCAAGGGAAACUGGUUGAAACAAUUUGCACAUCACAGAAGGCGCUCGCUGGCAGAUCUGGGCUGGGACUCCAGCCUGACGCCGUCUGAUCCCGCGUGGCUCUGGCUCUGCUGCUGCCCCAGUGCCAGGGAAGCACUGCUGAAGCAUCCAGAGCCUGCACCCCUCUCCUCCUCCUCCGCCCCAGAAACUGCAGCUCAUCCUUGUACAGUGUUUUCACUGGGUUUUCCCUCUACUGAGAGAAAUCACUGACCUUGGCAAGCAAGCUCAGUGGGCACUGGCAAACAGUAACCACCAUGGCCAUUGCUGUCAAUGCUGAAAAAAGAGGAAGCCAAAAAAUUCUUAAAUAAACUCAAAUAUUCUUGCUUCCCUUAGAAGGGGACGGGGAGGUUACGCAAUCACUUCCAUCUUCUGGGGAGGAAAAGGCUGAAUUUGGUACUUCCCUUGUCAGAACUUCUCAUCUUGGCAGGCGCUCCUAAAAUGAUGAAGGCUCUGCCUUGUGACUCUGCAGAUGGCAGGGCAGCACCCUGGACCUGGGAUGGCUGGGAGGCAGGGCUGGAUCCUGCCCGAGGGCUGCAGAUAAGGAGCAGAAGCAGGCAGUCUUCAAGGAGCAGCAGGGAGCAUAACCCCAUGCAUUUCAGCUUGGCAGGGAGCUGACUAAUAACAUUAACUCUUGCUGUGCAGGUGUCAGCUGCUGUGGGAACAGGAGGUGUGUCUGUGCAAGGGAAAGUGCUUUCACCAGGGCAUGGCUGGAGAUGCAGCCACACUUUUGGGCCCCAGCCUGGCUCACGUUCCCCUGGCCGGAGGGGCUUCAGGUCCCAGUGCUCCCAGCUCCCUUGGCUCCUGGCAGCACUGCAGAGGGAGCCGUUCCCAAGGGUGGCAUUCCCGUUGACAGGAAUGUAUUGGUGUGCAGGCUGAUGUAACCUGCACCAUCAGCACCUUUCCCAGGUACCUCUGUGUCAGAUGGGCCCUUUCCAUGCGGAGGUGCAGGGCUUUGAUGUGGCCGUGUUCAGCCAGCUGAACCAAACCCAGAUUUGGCAGGUUCAAUUAGCUGUAGGUACAGCAAA